UGGAUAAACCGGAAAACCUUCCCCAGCUUUAUCUAAAAAAGCAUUAUCUAAAAAGCAUUGCCUCAUAAAAGCAUUGUCUCAAAAAACAAAGAGCUUUCCUUAAAGCUUUUGAUGAGAGCUUAUUUGCGUAGACCGCCAGAAGGCUUGGGAUCAUCAUCUGAAGAAAGAGA
rnacentral:misc_RNA from 1 species